rnacentral:rRNA from 1 species
CCCUUAGAUGUUCUGGGCCGCACGCGCGCUACACUGACGGAGUCAACGAGCUGUCCUGCAUCGGAAGGUGUGGGUAAUCUUUUGAAACUUCGUCGUGCUGGGGAUAGAUCUUUGCAAUUUUCGAUCUUGAACGAGGAAUUCCUAGUAAGCGUGAUUCAUCAGAUCGCGUUGAUUACGUCCCUGCCCUUUGUACACACCGCCCGUCGCUACUACCGAUUGAAUGGUUUAGUGAGGCCUCGGGACUGGCGCGCUCGAGUAGCAAUACACCUGCGCGCCGGGAACUUGGUCAAACUUGAUCAUUUAGAGGAAGUAAAANUCGUAACA